CAUAACCUCUAGGUGGUGAUGGCAUAUUGGAAUGAAAGUGUAAAGCUUUUUCAUAACCUCUAGAUGGCGGCAUACAUUUAUAAAAUGUGAAAGGUUGUAUAAUGCGCACUCUUGACUUUUGACAAUUUUUUUGGGGGAAAAAAUGUGCAUUAUACAUGAGAAAUUACGGUAAAUGUUUGAGCUCAGCUCUUAAAAAAUAAUGCCUCAUAUUUAAAUAUUACUGCAAAUGCACACCCAUACUGUCAACUUUCACAGUAAAAUAGCAUUAUACCAAGGACCUUUGCUGAAUGAUAGUGCCAAUUAAAUUAUUUAGCAUCUCAAUAGAGUCUCCAAAAGUACAUUAACAGAUGGAGGCCCGCAGUGAGGCCGAUAAUAUUCUCAUACUGCAGGGUUCACUGACUUCAUCUAACAUUUACUCAUGCACCAUUGAGUGAAAUUAGCCAGCGCUACACGGCCGACUCAGUGCAAGCAGGAGCUGCUUUCCAAUAAGUCGAUGGGAGGUAUUGUAUUACACGCUCUCGAUGAUCAGCGGUGUACGCCAAAAAGGACAAGACGGCCUGAAAUGCCGCAUACCUCGGAGGAUUGCUCAGGAAUCCGCAGUAUGACACAGCGAUCCGAAAAAUAACAGGCCAAACCGUGUGAAGUGGAACGAGAGGAUUCCGAGAUCAAAUGGUUAUGCUACUUCCAAUCUUGAAAUUCUGGCCCAGCGCCUAUUUGAGUUGUGCUCUGGUACUCCAGUGUACCAGCCUGGACUGCGCCGGAAGAGUGAUCCAUGCUGAAACUUAAUUAAAUCCUUAAUUAUUCAAUUGACCCGGCAGCUGGUGAUCAGUGGAAAUGAAGCAUGAAGAGGGUAUUUUAUUAAAACCUGUUAUCCUAAAUUAUAUAAGCAAUGUCAACUCAAAUGAACAUUAGCCGGGCUUGCGCAUGAUGCUAAUUAGAAAGGCAGCUAAGUACACAUCUUAUUAAAAAUCACAGUUUAGUGCUCGCUCUGUGUAAACCGCAUGUACCUCCUGCCGCUAAGAGAAUGUGUGUGCCAAAUAGUGCUAAUGGAACAUGACCAAUGCUGGCCCGGAUCCAGGACCCACUAAGGAAAACAUGGCGUGCAAAUACAACAUUUUAUCGUGCUACAUGCUGGAUGAAGGAACACUCUUGUCACACUCUUCAAAGCAACAUAGUAUAAAUCUAAGGCAGUGUAACAUAACACAUAUAAAACAACACUACAUAACACAAUACGACGUAACGCAAUACGACGUAACUCACCACACUGUAAUGUAACAUAAUGUAAUGUGACACAGUGUAAUGUAACAACAUUAGGUAACGCUACAACUUAAUGUAGCGUAACGUAACAAUGCAGCACAACAUAACAUAAUGUAACGCAACGUAACUCUGCACAACAUAACUUGACGCAACAUAACUACACAGCGAAAUGCAGCACAAUGUGGCUUAAUGUGUGUAUUAAGAGGAGACUCAGGACCAAUGCAGCAAAAUGGGAACAAUGGAAUAGAAAGCCCAUUUCUCGCUGUCCUGUGUGGAAAGUAUCUAUGCGGUAUGGUGGGUUGACAGUAUGACAGGAAGACUACCAGCCGCAACCAUGUGAUGUUUCGUACUACUCGCAGCUCUUUAUGUUGAAUGCAUUUGUUGCUGAACCCAACGCUAGCAUUUGCCGAAUUUUAUCUGAAAGGGACAGGCGAAUAAAUAUGGUUCUGCCACUAAUGCACCAAUUAAUGGAUUAUUACCACAGCAUUCAGAGAUAAGGCACAGUAACAGGGUCAGCUAACAUUAGCAUGUGUAGGGGACAUGCUCCUUGCAAACCGAGGUGACACAGUGACUCCCCAAAGUUUGAUAAACUGCAUCCUUCGAAGCCUCCCUGCUGUAAGACUCCCACAAGAAGACGCCUAGUGGACCCUAAAUUAAUUAGCAGGUCCCCUCGAAAUCUUGGUUUACAGUCAUCAAAGAGUCCUUUCUUCGUUUGAACUCACAACAGCCCAACCGAUCGACAAUGAAAUGCAAAUAACAGCAACAAACUAUUUGCUUAAUAUUCAAAUGUGCAGUCAAGGCACCACCCACUGGCGUUUGAGAGUACUGCAAUAUGUGAACUCUCAUUUGAUGUUUAACCAAGGAUAAAUGUCUGUUUUGAUAUUUCACGAACUCUGCAGAAGUAUUCCAAAUGUAUGCCUUGAUGUCUGUGUUAAGUGUGUCAACUUUACAAGCGCAAUUGCAAGAUUUUGAGAAUUGUUUGUCUUGAUUUGACUCCAAGCAGCAUGAAAUGUGAUUUGAACCAUAAGCAGUUGAUUUGCCAAAACUAAAGUUUAAACUGUCACUCGAUAUACUUGACCUGUGAGUAAAGAGUGCAAAGUUGGUGUUAUUUUAUAUUAAUAUAUGAUUUUAAACCCAUUUUAUGGGUCAAAAUUGGAGUCUAUAUUCAAGCUGAUGGGUGUGGUCUUCUCCAGGUUUCGCCGUCCCUCUGGGUAUUUAACUCCUGACUCCCCCCUUCUUGGCUCUCUUGUGUUUUUUCUCUCGUUUGCUCUCUUCGUGUUCUGGCUGGCAUCUAGCCAGCCACGGGCUGGCCUUGGCAACCUCUAUCCUUUCUUUGUUUGGGCACUCGGCUCCCGAACCUCUGUGGACCCCCGCUGCUAAGCUUCCGGUACAGUGGCUACUGAGCUACCCAGAUACGCUCCCAGCCAAACGUGAGUUUUCCGAAUGUGCUAGCGGACCCCGGACCCAAGGCGGGGAGAGAGACGGUCAUAUUCUCCAAAGGAGGCAGUGACGUCACCAAGCGCUGUUGUUUGACUAGCAAAAUUUGUCUGUUGUGAUCUGGUGAUCUCUGGUGAGUAUGAUGUAUUUCUUUGUUUUUGUCAUUUUAUUAGAUACAUAUUGAUUCUGAACUGCUCCAGAUGAUGUUGUUCCACAGUAGUGUGCUGUUAUAAUUAGGAUUAGGCAUUGUCCUCAGCAGGCUUGGAACCCUGGAUGACCAGGUACAUGAAACAGCAGUUGGUUUUGCGAACAGAAAUUAGCCAUGUGAAGUGGGUAGUGAGGGUAUAUUUGCAUGACAAUAUCCAAGUAAAAACGGCAAGGCUUUUUUUUCCAAGCAGUAACUUUGUCAAAAUUAUCUGCAUUAACUUCCAGUGAUGGCAAUGUAGCAGAAAAUCGCACGAACAGUGCUCGAUGUAACUUGAACAAGCAAUGAUACCGUUUCUUUCACCAAUCAGAUUUCAAAUUUGUUCUCACAAGACUAGCGAGCUGGCCCUCAGUGACGUCACCAAGUGCUGUUUUUUGACUAGCAGAAUUUGUCUGUAGUGAUCUGAACUCAGCAUUUUGGCACGAAAAGUAACUUCACACAGCACCAAUGAUUUUUAAAUGGAUGGAACCAAAUGCUGUAAAACGCUGAUUCCUUUCCCUACCCACCGAUGAGGCAGAAGGAAACCGGAGUGCCCGAAGAAAACCUACGCAGGCAUGGGGAGAACAUGCAAACUCCACACAGGCGGGGCCAGGGAUUGAACCCCGGUCCUCAGAACUGUGAGGCUGACGCUCUUAGCAGUCGUCCACCGUUCCGCCCGUUUUGAAGGAUAUAGUCAUAAUUUAGAAUUUCUGCAGAUGGAACAGCUGAGGAUGCAGUCAAUGUCCCUGGAGUGAUAAAGUGGUUGACUGGACAGGAACAACAGAAUGCAUCUUCUAAAUGGAGACAGACAAUUUUUUAGGAUAAACUUGGAUAUUUCAUCCCACUUCUAACUUGAGAGAACACCUUACAGUCGCCAGCCUGAGAGAGCAGAUGGAGGCCAGUCAGCACGGUGCGAAGCGACGGGGAUGUGUGCCUGAAAGGGGAAACAGCCAAGAUAGCGUUACUAAAUAAGACCCAGAUAUCGGGCUGAAAGACGGCCUGGAAGCAAACACAAAUGGCGCGAGCUGGCAUGUGAACACAAAAGUGGAGGGCCCAGAGAAACACUUGGGUGUAAUGCACAACAGCAACACUGGAGAACAUUAAUAACACCACUUUAACUGGGCAACUGAGAGGUGCGCACACAUGCAGAGUGGCACUCUGGCAAGGAGACCCACUGCUGGUUGAUGAGCUGGCAAGGAGGAGGAGGCGGAGGGACACAUGCCAGGAUUCCAGGCAAAGCAAAACGUGGAGGACCCAUGUCCAGGGAAGAAGGGAAGCAAGGCAGGAGUGCAGGAGUCUCACAAAUGAUAUUUAAUUCCAAAAACAAAGAUGACAAAGAAGCUCUUGUCCUCUUUGGGGUCGCGGUCGAGCUAGAGGCUAUCCCAGUCGACUUUGGAUGAGAGACGGGGUACACCUUAGAGUGGUCGCCAUACAAUGGCAGAGCACAAACAACCAUUUGCACUUACAUUUAC